CCUACGGGAGGCUGCAGUGGGGAAUAUUGCACAAUGGGGGAAACCCUGAUGCAGCGACGCCGCGUGAGUGAAGAAGUAUUUCGGUAUGUAAAGCUCUAUCAGCAGGGACGAGACAAGACGGUACCUUACUAGGAAGCCCCGGCUAACUACGUACCAGCAGCCGCGGUAAUACGGAGGGGGCAGGCGUUAUCCGGACUCACUGGGUGUAAAGGGAGCGUAGACGGGUGAGCAAGCCUGAAGUGAAACGCUGGGGCCCAACCCGCGUACUGCUUCGGGAACUGUACGGCUGGAGUGCAGGAGGGGUAGGCGGAAUUCCUAGUGUAGCGGUGAAAUGCGUAGAUAUUAGGAGGAACACCAGUGGCGAAGGCGGCUUACUGGACUGUAACUGACGUUGAGGCUCGAAAGCGUGGGGAGCAAACAGGAUUAGAUACCCCUGUAGUC
rnacentral:rRNA from 1 species